UUUCGGUUUCAUUGUGCAUAGGCACAUCUACAAAAAGGAAAUAAAAUACAGGGUCACUUUUGAAUACUACCUCUGGCAGUGCGGACAAUCUGAAGAUGCCUGCUUAUUCAGCAGUGCUGAGGGACUCAGAUGUCAUGACCCAGGGGGCCGUAUGGUAUCAAACUCGACUGCAUGUCGGUACAGCUCAUCAGGGAUGUAAAAUUGCUCGAGAGCAAUGCUCACGCGCGGGCUCACGUCCUCUGCCACAAAGUCCUGCACCCUGCAGUGCGAGCAGGCACCAUUGUAAAACUGCAGAGUGACAGCAGUAUUCCUGAUGUCUUCAUGGUCGGGUGCCUUGCAGAAUGAAUUUCAGGGAGUCCUGAAGUCAUCCUUGUCUGUGAUCAGACCCUGCCACGGCCAUGCAGGAUGAGGAUCCCAGAUUGUCAGGAAUGCCAGCUCAGCUGCCAUUUGGCAUUUCUCCUGAGUCCGUUAUACAUCACUUCAAAGGGAGCAAUCAAACCUGUGUAUUCCUCAGGCCGUCGCUGACCACCUGACCUGUAAUGUGGGGUUCCCUAUUACAGCAUGCAUGGCAGUUUAUAAUUUUCCUGCCAGGUGAGUGACUUUUCAGAAGGAAGGGGCUCACUGGUGUGGCAGGUCGCCUUGAAACUUGAUCAGCAGAUUCUGGGACGGCGUUACAGUCAUGAAGGGGUGAGAUGUUGCCACAUUAGCGCCCCUCCUGUAUAUAUGUAGCUCCCCGCCCUG
rnacentral:lncRNA from 1 species